rnacentral:rRNA from 1 species
AGGGCACCACCAGGAGUGGAGCCUGCGGCUUAAUUUGACUCAACACGGGAAAUCUCACCAGGCCCGGACACCGGAAGGAUUGACAGAUUGAGAGCUCUUUCUUGAUUCGGUGGGUGGUGGUGCAUGGCCGUUCUUAGUUGGUGGAGCGAUUUGUCUGGUUAAUUCCGAUAACGAACGAGACUCUGGCCUACUAACUAGAUGGAGGAUCCCUUCGUGGGUUCUUCACUGCUUCUUAGAGGGACGGGCGGCGUUUAGCCGCACGAUAUUGAACAAUAACGGGUCUGUGAUGCCCUUAGAUGUUCUGGGCUGCACGCGCGCUACACUGAAAGAAUCAGCGUGUCCUCCCCGCUCUGAAAAGAGUGGGUAACCCGUUGAAACUCCUUCGUGAUGGGGAUUGGAGAUUGUAAUUAUUCUCCAUGAACGAGGAAUUCCCAGUAAGCGCGAGUCAUCAGCUUGCGUCGAUUACGUCCCUGCCCUUUGUACACACCGCCCGUCGCUACUACCGAUCGAGUGAUUUAG